GAUGAAGAACGUAGCGAAAUGCGAUAAGUAGUGUGAAUUGCAGAAUUCAGUGAAUCAUCGAAUCUUUUAACGCACAUUGCGCCCCUUGGUAUUCCAUGGGGCAUGCCUGUUCGAGCGUCAUUUACACCCUCAAGCUCUGCUUGGUGUUGGGCGUCUGUCCCGCUGCUUUGCGCGGACUCGCCUCAAAGGUAUUGGCAGCGAUCAUGCCAGCUUCUCGCGCAGCACAUUGCGCUUCUUGAAGUUCUGGUGGAUCAGCGUCCAUUAAGCUUACCUUCAUGACUUGACCUCGGAUCAGGUAGGGAUACCCGCUGAACUUAAGCAUAUCAAUAAGCGGAGGA
rnacentral:misc_RNA from 1 species